rnacentral:rRNA from 1 species
GGCGAUGUUUCAUUUCAAAUUUUCUGCCCUAUUCAACUUUUUCGACGGUAGGGUAGUGGCCUACCGUGGUGGUAACGGGUGACGGAGGAUUAGGGUUCGAUUCCGGAGAGGGAGCCUGAGAAACGGCUACCACAUCCAAGGAAGGCAGCAGGCGCGCAAAUUACCCAAAUCCCAACUCGGGGAGGUAGUGACAAGAAAUAACGAUGCUCCGGCCUCACGGUCGGGUAAUCGGAAUGAGAACAAUUUAAAUCCCUUAUCGAGGAUCAAUUGGAGGGCAAGUCUGGUGCCAGCAGCCGCGGUAAUUCCAGCUCCAAUAGCGUAUAUUUAAGUUGCUGCGGUUAAAAAGCUCGUAGUCGGAUUUCGGGUGGCGCCUACCGGUCCGCCUUUGGUGAGUACUGGUAGGUGCCACCUUUCUGCCGAGGACGGGGUACUGGGCUUAACUGUCUGGGCCCCGGAGUCGGCGAUGUCACUUUGAGUAAAUUAGGGUGUUCAAAGCAGGCUUAUGCUCUGUAUACACUAGCAUGGGAUGACACGAUAGGACUUCGGUUUAUCUUGUCGGUCUGUAGAUCGGAGUAAUGAUUAAGAGGGACAGUCGGGGGCAUUCGUAUUUCGUAGUCAGAGGUGAAAUUCUUGGAUUUACGGAAGACGAACUUCUGCGAAAGCAUUUGCCAAGGAUGUUUUCAUUGAUCAAGAACGAAAGUCGGGGGCUCGAAGACGAUUAGAUACCGUCGUAGUCUCGACCAUAAACGAUGCC